GACACUUCAAUUUCAGAAGCACACUUCAAAGCACACUUCAGAAGUAUUUUCGUUCCUCUCUUUUCAUCUCUUGCUUUCAGAAGCACACUUCAGAAGCAAACAGUGUUCUUCAGGUUUUAGGCGUAGUGUUCUUCUCCCUCUACAUAGCUCCAACACUUCUCUCUCUUCUUUUUCUCUUCAGAUCUGAGGGUGGCGGUGAGACGGAGAGCGACGGAGGGCUUACAAAUCUGCUUCAGCAAGGAGACGGAGCGACGGACAAUUUUUUUUACAAAUGUCUAAAACAGUGGAGAGAUCUGCUUCUCACUUACCAGAUCUGCUUUUGAUUCUCACCUUCCAGAUCUACUUUAGUUUCUCACCUUACAGAUCUCUCCUUCAGCUUCUCACCUUCCAGAUCUGCUUCCAAGCUCCAAGGAGAACCCGUGGGAACUCUGGAAGAUCCAACGGUUGAUCGAGAGGAUGAUACGGGCGGGAGCUGCACAGAACAAACGCCACAGUGGCUUUCUCGGCGGUGAUGAGGUCGAAAUCGAAAUCAGAAGAUGCCGAUUUAACUAAUUCCUUUGACUAUGAAGUGAAAAGUAGGCCGGAAACAGUUCAAAGAUGGAGCCUCAUGAACAUGGGAUAUCUGGAGAUCGAUGAUAAAAUUUUCAGUUCAAGAUGAACUUCUUUUUUCUCUCUUAUUUUGAUUUGUUUAGUCUGAGAGACAUGUAUUUGUGCUAUGAAUAAUUUCUUAUGUAUAUGUUUUGUGAAACGAAA